CUUUCUUCGCCUUCGCUACAGUCUUACCUGUAGGGCUCGCUGCACGUUCUUCCCCGGCCAACCCCCUGCGAAGGCCCCUCCCGAAACCCCCCGCCACUGCCACUCUUCCAUGAACCCAACGCAAUGUGGUUCCAUUUCCAUUAAUUUGGUACGCUAUCGCGACGUAGAGUCGCCCGUGGAACUGAACUCGCUGCUUUCUGCGGUUUCGGUUGGCUCUUUUACUUACAUAUUUUUGCUGGAAGCGUGAAAUGUAAUAAUGAUCUUCUGCUUUGCAUUUUGACAAUAUUUCUUUUCUGCGGGUGCCAGCCGCAAAACCCGAACUUACACUCCUUCAUUUUUUUCCACCACCUCCGUCCACCGAAAAUAUGAUAAAUGUGUGCAUGUGUAAUUAAAGGCACCUUCUUGGCUUCUUUUCCGCCGUCUUUGGCUACUGCCUCGGAGCUUUCUAAUUAACCUUAGAACUUGGAGAAGGAUAAAUAUUGGUUUAAUGAUUAUUAAUAACCGAGAGCUCUCAGUGGCUUAGAGAAAAUUAGCCACCAAUUAUAAGCGCAGGUCUAAAGGAGGGAGAGAGACUUUACACGGGAAGAAAGAAAGGGUAACUUGUACAGCAACAUCGUGGAGGAUUUCGAUAUCCCAACCAAGACCUAGUCUCGGGACACAUUUAUUCGUUUUGUAUAGAUGCCAUCCAGUUCUAGCUCAACCAAUAGUUAAUCCCAUUGGACACAUGGCCCGAUCGACCGUUGCAGGCUAUAAUUAUGUACGCGUUCGGCUAAACAUAAUAAUGGCCAAGUGAUUAACAGUCAUGGGAAAUGAAUUGCCCGCAAUUUCCCAGUUGGACGGCGGAGGAUGUGGAGGAUCGGUGGAUCCGUGGGUCCGUGGAUUGGGUGGUGCGACUGCUGCUAAAAACCUGUGCGUGCCCAUUGCAAUCGAAAAUUCUAUCGCAAGUAUAACGCACCGAGAUUUUGGCCCUUCGUUUUGGUUGGCAUUUUGUUGGUAAAACGGCCGCCGGGUGGACGCCGACGCCGACGACGAGGUUGACUGCGACGCGACUGCGACGCACAGUGGGCUUAAUGUGACCGACGCGGCUGCUGGUUGGACUCCUUGCAAUCUGGAUUUCUGGAUUUUCCACCAGGAGGCUCUCGUGGGGGGGAGGGGCCUGGAUGGCCUUCGCCUUUAACAGCAUUCAUCCAUCUAUACUCGCGGCUGCCGCUGCUUCUUCUUAGCUUGAUCUUCUGAUCCUCACCAUUUGUAUUUGUGUGAAGAAUUGCACUGGAAUAAAUGUUGUUUUUAAAUUA